GUGCAAGUUCUGUUGCACGGGGUGCCGUAAGAACCCGUUACGGCGCUGGUAACCAGGCCCAUUUGCGUCGGCAGAUCCAUCACAUGCUUCAAAGUAAUUAGCAUCGCGGCGCUUGCGACCAUCAACAACUGAAAAAGCUGGUGCUGCGAAUACAGACAACAAUAAAACAGCCAAUAUACCAAAAAUAAACAAGUUACAAUUCAUUGUUUGGAAUCGUUACGUUACACGCAAUUUUUGAAGAUUUACACUACUUAUACCCAUGGUUGACGUCAGAUUCAGAGAUAAUAACAAUGACAACAUUCUUAUUUUCGGAAAACCCAGAAGAAUGAAGGCGAUUAUAUUAUAAAGUCACAGGUCAUCUUCAUUGCCAUUAUGUGUUUAUGUGAAGGAAAAUCCAAAAAGUGUCGAAACACCAUAACAACCAUAGUUUGCUAAAUACAUUGUUUGUUUUA